GAUGAACGCUAGCUACAGGCUUAACACAUGCAAGUCGAGGGGAAACGACAUCGAAAGCUUGCUUUUGAUGGGCGUCGACCGGCGCACGGGUGAGUAACGCGUAUCCAACCUGCCCAUCACUUGGGGAUAACCUUGCGAAAGUAAGCCUAAUACCCAAUGAUAUCUCUAGAAGACAUCUGAAAGAGAUUAAAGAUUAAUCGGUGAUGGAUGGGGAUGCGUCUGAUUAGCUUGUUGGCGGGGUAACGGCCCACCAAGGCAACGAUCAGUAGGGGUUCUGAGAGGAAGGUCCCCCACAUUGGAACUGAGACACGGUCCAAACUCCUACGGGAGGCAGCAGUGAGGAAUAUUGGUCAAUGGGCGAGAGCCUGAACCAGCCAAGUAGCGUGCAGGAAGACGGCCCUAUGGGUUGUAAACUGCUUUUAUAAGGGAAUAAAGUGAGAGUCGUGACUCUUUUUGUAUGUACCUUAUGAAUAAGGACCGGCUAAUUCCGUG
rnacentral:rRNA from 1 species